rnacentral:rRNA from 1 species
CUGGCUCAGGAUUAACGCUGGCGGCGUGCCUAAUACAUGCAAGUCGAAUGGUUAGCUUGCUAACCAUGGCGAACGGGUGAGUAACACGUAGGCAACCUGUCUAUAAGACGAGGAUAACCAUUGGAAACGAUGGAUAAUACUGGAUAGGAUAUUGGAAGGCAUCUUCUAAUAUUUAAAGAUUUAUCACUAAUAGAGGGGGCCUGCGGCGCAUUAGCUAGUUGGUGAGAUAACAGCCCACCAAGGCGAUGAUGCGUAGCCGGACUGAGAGGUUGAACGGCCACAAUGGGACUGAGAACGGCCCAUACUCCUACGGGAGGCAGCAGUAGGGAAUUUUCGGCAAUGGACGAAAAAGUCUGACCGAGCAACGCCGCGUGAACGAAGAAGUAUUUCGGUAUGUAAAGUUCUUUUGUUUGGGAAGAAAAUAAAUUGACUGUACCAAACGAAUAAGCUCCGGCUAACUACGUGCCAGCCGCAGC